AGACGCGCCUGUGCGCGCUUCGCACAAGCUGGAAAGUCUCCGGGCCGGGUGAGGCACGCAGUCGUUGUAACAGGCAGGCGGCAGACUGACUGAUCUCGCUAACAGGGGCUUCUGUGUAAACUGAGGCUAAGCAAACACAGAUGGGUCUCUCCGCGUGCAUUCACCAAAAAUGCUGGCAAUGCGGCCGGGACUUCAGAUGACAUUCUGAUCCGAUUGCUGCUCCCACACUGCCUUUUACAAAUCGGGGCUUGGAAGGACAGCAGCUGCUGCUCUGCAAACCCCGAGGCAGCCGCCGCCAAAGCCGCCGCCUCAAGGGCUGGAGGUGGGGGGUGGCUCGGUGGGAGAGUCUUGGGAACUUGGGAGAGAAACUCUUGGACGGGCGGGUCCCCCCAUGAAGAACAUGCAGCUGGCUGAAGAAGAGGCGAGCUGGAAGCGCCUCUGCCUCAAGGAACUCAGCGGCAUCAAGAAGCUCAAGCGGAAGAGCCGAGAGCCCGCCAAGCCGCCCCAGCUCGGCGGCUGCAGGAGUUUCCAAGGGGACUUGAGAGCCCGCGAGCACGUGCUCGGUGGGCUGAGGCUGGGGGGCCAGCGGGACGCGCGGCCAGAAAGCCAGGCGGGCGCUUCCAAUGGGGCCCCGGCGGCGGCGGCGGCGGCCCCGGGCUUCCCGGAAGGCAGAGCCAGCGGCGCCGGCAAGGUGAUGGACGUGCGAAAACCAGCUUUCCCUGCGGGGCUCGCCUCGCCCCCCCAGCAGCCCCUGAGGAAAGACGCGUGUCUCCGCUCGGGCAGUCUGAACAAGGCGGAAGGCCAGGCGUUUGCGGACCCGAGCCUGCAGCCCAGGAUGAUGGUGUGUCAGCAGCAGCCGCGGCCGCUGGAAAGUUCUUACUCGUCCGCUUCCCACGUAAUCUACAGCAGCAAUCCCGAUUCUUCCCUGUCGCCUAGGAAACGGCUGGGGGAGACCGCCGGCGUCUCCUCGGAGAUCAAAGCCAUUCAGCAGACUCGGCGGCUGCUUGCGAACGCCCGGGAGAGGACCAGGGUGCACACCAUCAGCGCUGCCUUCGAGGCUCUGAGAAAGCAGGUUCCCUGCUAUUCCUAUGGACAGAAGCUUUCCAAACUGGCCAUCCUGAGGAUAGCAUGUAACUAUAUCCUCUCCUUGGCUAGACUAGCUGACCUGGAUUACAGCGCUGACCACAGUAACAUGAGCUUCUCGGAAUGUGUGGAGCAGUGCACUAGGACCUUGCAAGCUGAAGGGAGGUCUAAAAAAAGGAAGUUCAACUGUGCAUACAUGUCCCUCCAAUGAGUUCAAUGGGAUUUACUUCCUGACUCUCCUUUUGCAUCUGCGCACAUCAGCCUCUGGGCUUCCUUUCGGCUUUGACCCAGCUGCGUCAUUAGUCACAGCGCUACUCGUACUUGUCCAUUCUUCUUCCCCAGUAGCUUGGAGUAAUAACAGAACAUGGUGGAUCCAGUGGCAGUGUCAUCCCAUGUUGUCAAAGUACACAUUGUCCAACUGAAAGCACACAUUUUCUUAAGAUGAAGUCUAGCAAUGGGAACUUUCUGGAUGUGAGAAACGUCUCUUAGAAGCUGUAGAUGUUUUCUUCUUAUAUUGUUUUCUUUUUAAGCCAACCACAUUUUAGUAUGUGCAAUGUAUUAAGCACUUCCCCCUUUCCUUCCAUAGGAAAUGUUACCCUCAGCAAAUAGUAUACUGUAAUUUCGCUGUUAAUGCCAAAGAUCUGGUGGAGUUUAUACUGUCACCCCAAUCCAGAGAAUGCGAUCCACUAGCAGAAGCAGUUUUCUGCAUGUAUCAGGAGCCAUCAGCAUGUAUCAGAUAUGCAUCAGUGUGUGGAGUCAUUAGUUAUUUUCCGUGGCAUGCACAUUAAAAUGUGUGUUCCAUCUACAUUUGGUGGUGAAUGAGAUGUAUAUCCCAGUGUAAGCAAUGCAUUCCAAAUAAAUGAGUGAUUUUGGAUGAAUAUCUGAUAUAUGCUUGUGAUUCCUGAUAUGUGUGCAGAAGCUCGCUUUGGGCUGUGGCACCAGUGUCUUAUUUUUGCCUUAAUUGUCACCAUUCUGGAGUAGAAAACCUCCCAUCAUUCCCUUAAAUAAUGUCAUGAUCACUCCCAGAUCAGAACUCAUAAAACUUUGUGAUUUUAAAAAAAUCAUCCAUUUGCAUGGAUCUGCCCAGAGCACCAGGAUUUACAGGAGGAAGCAGCUGACAUACCAUUUACUGAUGUUUUUUAACCUUCAGCAACCUUAAUGUUCUGUUUAUUUGGCAAGAGUCCAAUUUUUUUCACACAAAUAUGCACACACACAAAGGGGGUAAAAAAGUGAUUAAAGAGGGCGUAAAAAGUGAUUAAAAAGAGAACUACUAACUGCAGGAUUUUGUUUUCAUUUUUUUAAACGUGUCAUUUAACCCAAUGUACUACAAAUUAUAUUUUGAAAAAAGGAAAGGAAGGAUGAAUAGCCAGAAUGUGUAGUAGCAAAACUAUUCCAAAACUGUUGGUAAAAUCAUAUUUUGAAAGUUAGCAGUGUUUAAAAACAAAUGUAAUGCAAAAGCAUUUGAAUUCUAUAUUGUAUCUUUCACUUCAAAUUGAAGUUAAAAAAAGGUAUGGAAAAACUCACUUGGAGUAAGCAGGCUUUAUAAAUUCGUAUCAUAUGUAAGACAUCUGCUAAUAAUGAGGAAUAUAAUUCAGUGUUACAGUACAGUAAUAUGGCCUCUUGAAUAAAAAAGUAUACCAUAUUUCAAUCAAGUGAAAUGGCUAUACAUUGCAGUUAAAUCUGGGUUCUGUUAUUUCAGUAUAAAUUAGGUAUGCCCAUGCUUGAUUUACAAAAGUGUAAUGGAUUUGAAUCUAACCUUUUGUGCGUAGCUGGCUGGAAGACAGCACAAAUAUGCCACUCUUAUCAAAUGUAUAUCCUUCCAAAGGUAAAGCCUAAAUCUAAAUUCAGAAUUCUGGCCUCUUCAGUUGAUAUUCACCACUUUGCUGCACUGAAGGACUCCUACGUGGCUUCUCCCUCUAACAUGGGAAUGGUAGGUUAAUAACAUUGCACCCUUCCUAAAGAAUCUCCAGACAAAUGAGGGCUGGUUGAAGAUACCCAUUACUGUACUAAAAUAAAAUGGAACUCCAAACUUACAUGAUGCUUAAGAGGCCUGAUCUCAUAGCAAUCAAGUAGGCAAAGCCAAUCCUUUUCUCCAAGAAUCUCUCUCAACAUACAUUUUCAGACAGAAGUUAAAUCCAUGUAAGAAAAAAAUGCAAGAUUCUCUCUACAACAUGUCAUAUAUAUGGAGAAAGAAAAUGUAUUCACAUGUUACAUAUUACAGAUGUUUUGCCACUAUAGAUUAAAUAAACGCCUUAAGUUCGUAGGUUGUAAAUAGGGAAGAGUA